UUUCCUUCCUUCCUUCCUUCCUUCCUUCCUUCCUUCCUUCCUUCCUUCCUUCCUUCCUUCCUUUCUGGAGUGUUGAAUGCAGAGACCUUGACUCUCACAGAUGCAAAAAACAGGUUGGCCUUGAACUCACAGAGAUCAGGCUACUCUGUCUCUGACAUGCUAGGAUUGAUGGGCUGGUCCACUAAGCCUGGUUCAGAAUCCAGUUUAGUAUCAGGGAUAUUGUGUGUACACGAAUGUGUGUAAGCUAUGUGUGUCCCAAAUGCUUGCAGAGGCCAGAAGAGGGAAUUGGAUCCCAUGGAAUGGAGACUACAUAACUUAGUCUCUACUCUUCACCAAGGAAACUUCUGUUUUCAACAGUCAGAGUCUACAGUGAAAAAAAAAACACACCUAAUCAACAUGCAGAGUUUGGGAGAACAGGCACAGUGGAUACUCUCAUUCAAAACUCCUGCAUCAUACUACCGAGCAAUAGUGUUAAAAACUGCAUGGUAUUGGUACAGUGACAGGCAGGAGGAUCAAUGGAACAGGAUUGAAGAUCCAGAAAUGAACCCACACACCUAUGGCCACUUGAUCCUCGACAAAGGGGCUGAAAACAUCCAAUGGAAAAAAGAUAGCCUUUUCAACAAAUGGUGCUGGUUCAACUGGGAGGUCAGCAUGCAGAAGAAUUCGAAUUGAUCCAUCCUUGUCUCCUUGUACUAAGCUCAACUCCAAAUGGAUCAAGGACCUCCACAUAAAGCCAGACACUCUGAAGUUAAUAGAAAAGAAACUGGGGAAGACUCUUGAGGACAGUGGUACGGUGAAAAGUUCCUGAACAGAACACCAAUAGCGUAUGCUCUAAGAUCAAGAAUUGACAAAUGGGACCUCAUAAAAUUACAAAGUUUCUGUAAGGCAAAGGACACCAUCAAAAGGACAAAUCAGCAACCAACAAAUUGGGAAAAGAUCUUCACCAACCCUACAUCAGAUAGAGGCCUAAUAUCCAAUAUAUACAAAGAACUCAAGAAGUUAGACCCCAGAAAACCAAAUAACCCUAUUAAAAAAUGGGAUACAGAGUUAAACAAAGAAUUCUCACCUGAAGAACUUCGGAUGGCGGAGAAACAUCUUUAAAAAUGCUCAACUUCAUUAGUCAUCAGGGAAAUAUGCAAAUCAAAACAACCCUGAGAUUUCACCUUACACCAGUCAGAUUGGCUAAGAUUAAAAAACUCAGGAGAUUGCAUGUGUUGGCAAGGAUGUGGAGAAAGAGGAAUACUCCUCCAUUGCCGGUGGGGUUGCAAAUUGGUACAACCACUCUGGAAAUCAGUCUGGUGGUUCCUCUGAAAACUGGGCACCUCACUUCCAGAAGAUCCUGCUAUAACACUCCUGGGCAUAUACCCAGAGGAUUCCCCAGCAUGUAAUAAGGAUACAUGCUCCACUAUGUUCAUAGCAGCCCUAUUUAUAAUAGCCAGAAGCUGGAAAGAACCUAGGUAUCCCUCAACAGAAGAGUGGAUGCAAAAAAUGUGGUAUAUAUACACAAUGGAGUACUAUUCAGCCAUUAGAAACAAUGAAUUCAUGGAAUUCUUAGGCAAAUGGAUGGAGCUGGAGAACAUCAUACUAAGUGAGGUAACCCAGUCUCAAAAGAUGAAUCAUGGUAUGCACUCACUAAUAAGUGGAUAUUAGCCUGGAAAACUGGAAUACCCAAAACAUAAUCCACACAUCAAAUGAGGUACAAGAAGAACGGAGGAGUGGUCCCUGGUUCUGGAAAGACUCAGUGUAGCAGUAUAGAGCAAAAUCAGAACAGGUUGCGUCCACCUACACCAACAAUGGAUGGCCAUGAACAAAAAGAGUGAUGUCAGCUAAGACAGACUCAUGUGGAGUUUGCUAAGACUCACGGGCUUAGGCAAGACACAUGGUCAGUAAAGACCCAUGGAGGACACAUAUUUUGAGGGAGUAUGGUCUCAAUGGACAGUGAUUGAGGUUUGUCUGGGCUUGCCUGUAGACGUAGCUGUGCAACGCUUGUUGGUGUCGAGAGUUCACUGACCUUUGCUUUCCUGAAAGAGGCACAGCCAAGAACUUUCCUGGCAAUCCUGUUAACAGUCCCUGGUCUCACCUGCUGACCCAUGCUGAUUUGACUGAGGCCUGGCUGUUCCUGCUAGGUUGUGCCACCACUGCUGAUUUAUGUUUGCUCUUCGAACUCAAACAAACUGGACUACUGGUAUAUCUGUGAAGUGUUUGCUUGGGGAUGGAGCGGCUGACCUGAACUACUGAUUUCUUAACAACACAGAUGGGAUUCGCUCCAAAGAACCAUUUCUAAACAGCACCACUUCACCCAUAUGGCUUCCUUUCCACUACCUCUGGUGGGUGGUAGGCUAGAAGAGAGAUCAAAGUGUUUAAGAACCAUCAUUAAAAAUAGAUAUUCAAAAACUAGAGUUACAGAGAAGUGUGUCUUUCAAGCCACUCACUGGCUUCUCCGGGAAACUUGUCUUGCCUUACACGGUUCAAGCAGAUUGACUGGUGUCAGCUUCAUGGUGAUCUUCUGUGCAAUUCAUUUUGUCUGACAGUCUUAGAAUUCCUUACCUAUUAUAUAUGGUUGUGGCAGAAAGAUACUAGUGUAUCUUGCCAGUUUCUGGGACUUCCUGAAGCUAUUAAAUUGUCUAUUUCUGAGCUUUGGGAGGUAAGUUAUAGGGUAGACUAUUUCCUUCCCCGCUCCACCUUGCAGCUAUAAGGCAUCUAGUUCAUUUCUCUGUCUUUUAACACCCUAUGUUUUAAGAAGCUUCCUACAAAAUUAAAGGGUUAUACGUCAAAGACAUCUGAUCAGUAAUCACUCCUGGGCAUGAAACCCAAGGACUUUCCAUUGUUGCUGGGUAUAUGAUCACAUCAUGAACCCUAAGAUUGUAAACUAGAAAAGCCUUGCCAUGCUUUUCUGUGGCUCUGCGUUAACACAUACCUUUAAUCUAACAGCUUUCUGUUUAUUGGAAACAAAUACUUGUCGUGUGGCUCAGCCCUAGAACACACCUUUCAAGGGCUAAGUAAAGUCAACCUUAGGUCAACAAACAAGCAGUUACCAGGGAGUAAGCAUAGUCAAGUACAAAGGAGGGACAGUGCUAUUAUAUUUUGUCCUUUUUAUGAUUUUGAGGCAAGUUAUAUGUAGAGAGAAUCUCCUGUGUACUGCCAUGAAUUCAGAACCUCAGUAACAAGCUGAUGGCUUACUAGCAAUAGGCAGGAAAUAAAAGAUGGAAGCUGAGGUGGAGAUUUCUGGUUUCUUUGGAGGUUCAGUUGUGUGGAAAGUGUCUUAUGAGAGGAUGUUUUGCUAAGGCAGACAUCAGUGGGAAUAUGGUUUGCUCGAAAUAGAUAUGUAGUAUUUUUCUGGAAGUUGCCUGGGAAAGGGGCAUAUAAUAUUUUGCUAAAGCUGAUGCUUGGUAGUUGGAAAGAUAUAAAUAUAACCCAACAGUAGAUGACACUGGGGCAUUUAUUUGCCUUGCCUUUUUCAUUGAUCAUCGUUUGUUGAGACUUUGUAGACAAAAAUGCACCAAAGAUCUUCUGGUGGUAUUCUGGUGGCUUCUUGCCACUUCUGUGGUCUCAGGGGCUGAUUGGCGGAGCCUUGUGUUUCUUCUGGAUUGAACUGUGUUACUGUACUGACUCAUGAACGGUGUUUGCAAAAAACGGAGUUACUGCUGCUGAUUUGUGUGAACUGAACUGCUGCUAUCAUGACAAUAAAAAUUAGAAUAACCCCAAAGAACUAUUUCUAAACAGGCCCACAACGCCUUUGCCCUAUUAACCUUUCCUUUCCACUACCUACGGUGGAUAGUGGGCUGGAGCUUAAAGUGUUUAAGAACCCUUACUAAAGUAGGUUUUGAAAAAUAAAAAGUCUAGAAGGAACUCAGAUUGUGAGACUGGAACUCUGGGGAGGAAGUCACAAGUGUGAAAGAUUCACCCUGGACGAUAAGAAGACAGAGAUAUGAAGAUGAGAGGUCAACAGCCAUGCAGCACACAAGGAAUAUAAUAAACAGGUUAUAUAAUUUCAGAACUAGUCAAGAAACAAACCAAAGCUUAUGGUCUAGGCCUUUAUUUAUAGAUAGUUA